GCCGGGCGCGGUGGCUCACGCCUGUAAUCCCAGAACUUUGGGAGGCUGAGGCAGGUGGAUCACCUGAGGUCAGGAGUUUGAGACCAGCCUGGCCUACAUGGUGAAACCCUGUCUCUA
rnacentral:SRP_RNA from 1 species